AAUGAACGCUGGCGGCAGGCCUAACACAUGCAAGUCGAACGGAUCCUUCGGGAUUAGUGGCGGACGGGUGAGUAACGCGUGGGAACGUGCCCUUUGGUUCGGAAUAGCCUCGGGAAACUGGGAGUAAUACCGGAUAAGCCCUUCGGGGGAAAGAUUUAUCGCCAAAGGAUCGGCCCGCGUUGGAUUAGGUAGUUGGUGGGGUAAUGGCCUACCAAGCCGACGAUCCAUAGCUGGUUUGAGAGGAUGAUCAGCCACACUGGGACUGAGACACGGCCCAGACUCCUACGGGAGGCAGCAGUGGGGAAUCUUAGACAAUGGGGGAAACCCUGAUCUAGCCAUGCGGCGUGAUCGAUGAAGGCCUUAGGGUUGUAAAGAUCUUUCAGUUGGGAAGAUAAUGACGGUACCAACAGAAGAAGCCUCGGCUAACUCCGUGCCAGCCGCCGCCGUAACAC
rnacentral:rRNA from 1 species